GGAAUAAAAGUCGUAACAAGGUUUCCGUAGGUGAACCUGCGGAAGGAUCAUUAUUGUAUAACCGAGGUGCGAGGGCUGUCGCUGACCCGAAAGGUCGUGCACGCCCGAGUACCCUCACACACAUCCAUCUCACCCCUAUGUGCACCACCGCGUGGGUCCCCCUUUGGCUUGUUCGGAGGGGGGCUUACGUUUUCACACAAACUUUGUAUGCAGUGUAGAAUGUAUUUUUUGUUUUUGCGAUCACGCAAUCAAUACAACUUUCAACAACGGAUCUCUUGGCUCUC
rnacentral:misc_RNA from 1 species